AUUUCUUUGACCAUUGCAAUGUCAAAUUGUUAAUAAGUUUCAUAAAAACUGAACCUCUACCUGAAUCUGAAAUUCAGGCACGAACAGUUCAAUGUUUAUAUGGUAUACAAAUAAUUUCUGCUGCAUUGGAGCAUUGUGGUGGUAAGUUACCUAUUAACCUUUUUUAAUACAGUGUAUUUUAACUAAUAUGAGGUGUUAUGUUUUUUUUUCUAUUCGGAAAGUAUGAAAACUUUUCCCCAGACUUUACAAAUACAGUGUAAUAAAUAAGCAAUCAUAUGAAUUGUGGAAGAAAGAAUACGAGUUCGAAGUUGUUUUUGAUGAAGACUUGGAAACUAAAACAAUAGCUAUCUUUGUAUUGAAUUCUUUCUUCCUAUAACUUUCAAUGAAUGGUUCCGAUGACAAUGACACGUUGAACAGUAGUGUUCUACACAGACUGGCUGUGUAUAAUUUUUCAUUAAUCAAUAUUAUAUUUUUUUAAAACUUAUUAUAGAUAUCAUGUUAUUAAAAAAAAAUAGCCAUUUUUCAUUUAUUCCUUAA